rnacentral:rRNA from 1 species
AGAGUUUGAUCCUGGCUCAAAAUCAACGCUGGCGGCGCGCUUAACACAUGCAAGUCGAACGAGAAAGUCCGCAAGGAUGAGUACAGUGGCGUACGGGUGAGUAACACGUGGGUAAUUUACUCUUUGGUGGGGAAUAACCCUGGGAAACCGGGGCUAACACCGCAUAAGCCUGAGAAGGGAAAAGAGAAAUCUGCCGAAGAAGGAGCCCGCGGCUGAUUAGCUAGUUGGUGAGGUAAAGGCUCACCAAGGCGAUGAUCGGUAGCCGGCCUGAGAGGGCACACGGCCACACUGGCACUGAAACACGGGCCAGACUCCUACGGGAGGCAGCAGUGGGGAAUCUUGCACAGUGGGGGAAACCCUGAUGCAGCGACGCCGCGUGAGCGACGAACCCCUUUCGGGGGUGUAAAGCUCUCUCGGCCAGAACGAUAAUGACGGUACUGAAAAAAAAAGCUGCGGCUAACUACGUGCCAGCAGCCGCGGUAAUACGUACGCAGCGAGCGUUUGUUCGGAUUUACUGGGCGUAAAGCGUGCGUAAGGCGGUUUUUUAAAGUGUUGGUGGUGAAAUCCUCCCGGCUCAGCUGGGGAGGGGUGCCGCCGAAAACUGGGG